rnacentral:rRNA from 1 species
AACGUAGGAGGCGAGCGUUAUCCGGAUUUACUGGGUGUAAAGCGCGUGCAGGCGGUCGUGUAAGUGGUGCGUGAAAGCUCCCGGCUCAACCGGGAGAGGACGUGCCAAACUGCAGGGCUAGAGGCAGGUAGAGGCGUGUGGAAUUCCGGGUGUAGUGGUGAAAUGCGUAGAGAUCCGGAGGAACACCAGUGGCGAAGGCGACACGCUGGGCCUGGCCUGACGCUCAGACGCGAAAGCAUGGGGAGCGAACGGGAUUAGAUACCCCCGUAGUCC